GGUAGGAUAGCUCAGCUGGUUAGAGCGUGGUAGUCAUGAUGCCAAGGUUGCAGGUUCAGUGUAUGGGACAGCUGCAUAUUCCA